AAAAGGGGAUGGACCUGCGAUGCAUUAGCUAGUUGUAAGGUAACAGCUUCCAAGGCGAUGAUGCAUAGCCCGAGUUGAGAGACUGAUCGGCCACAUUGGGACUGAGACACGGCCCAAACUCCUACGGGAGGCAGCAGUAGGGAAUCUUCCACAAUGGACGCAAGUCUGAUGGAGCAACGCCGCGUGAGUGAAGAAGGUUUUCGGAUCGUAAAGCUCUGUUGUUGGUGAAGAAGGAUAGAGGUAGUAACUGGCCUUUAUUUGACGGUAAUCAACCAGAAAGUCACGGCUAACUACGUGCCAGCAGCCGCGGUAAU
rnacentral:rRNA from 1 species